rnacentral:rRNA from 1 species
UACAGAGGGUGCGAGCGUUGUCCGGAAUUACUGGGCGUAAAGGGCUCGUAGGCGGCCAACUAAGUCAGACGUGAAAUCCCUCGGCUUAACCGGGGAACUGCGUCUGAUACUGGAUGGCUUGAGGUUGGGAGAGGGAUGCGGAAUUCCAGGUGUAGCGGUGAAAUGCGUAGAUAUCUGGAGGAACACCGGUGGCGAAGGCGGCAUCCUGGACCAAUUCUGACGCUGAGGAGCGAAAGCCAGGGGAGCAAACGGG